GAGUAGAAAGCUUUGCAUAAGCAUUGAUCUUGUAAAUCAAAGAUAAGUAUUUGUACUUCUAUUCA
rnacentral:tRNA from 1 species